rnacentral:tRNA from 1 species
AAGGCUAUAGUCAAUAGUUAUGACAUAUAAGUUGCAUUUAUAAAGAGUAUUUUAUACUAGCUUU